UAUUGCAGACGUGGCCAGUCAAUUCCUGUUCAGUCUUAGCUCUCCUGGCCUUUUGGUCCAGGUUGUCUUUGGCCUAGGUCUGUGUAGACCCCGAGGAGAGAAGAGUGGAGAAGUCAGGGAGUCUGUGGUCGCUCUCUGUUUUCUGAACAAGAGGUUGAUCUAGCAGCAGAGGAGGAAUGCAUCCUGAAGAGAAGCUUAAUGAUUUACAUUUCAUCCCCUUUCCUUGUCAGCCCCCAGGAGCCCCAUCAGAUCUUCUCCACUCCUGCUGUCAGGCCACAGAGUCCUGUUAUGGGGGAAUCUGCACCUUAGGACAACCUCCACCAUCUCUCACAGCAGAUGCCCAAUAUUUUCUGGACUCAAAGACCAGCCCUGUGCUGUUUUGGACCUUGGAUUAAAUUUCAGAGCUGACCUGUCACUGAGAUGGAGCCAUGGACUGUACUGCCACCUCAAAGGGAAGGUUUUUUUUUUUUCCUGUGUGUAUGUGUGUGAGAGAGAGAAUGGCGGGCGUUAAGGUUAGCUGAAUUUGGGGAGAGCAGUGAGGAAGGGGAGGCCACUGUGGACACAGAAGCUGCUUCUGGAGAUGGGGGCUGGGGCUCUGUACACUGAACUGGUUCUGUUUUGACUUGACAGUGGACCUGAGGAGACUCGGGGCCCUUAAUUCUAUAGACGGGUCUAACCUCUGGGUGCUCACAGUCAUGUCUGCAGAGUCACUCUGUACAUCCUCAGUCUUCCAUGUAGGGACUCUUCUGUGUCAGACAGUUGGUUUUGGGGAAUAGAGGUGGGAGGUGGUUUGGAGAGAGGCAGGGAAGUUGGUCUACAUGAUGAUCCUCUGAGAAACUGAAUUAUGGUGACUCUGGUGUGAGAUGGAUGUCAGUGGUGAGAGAAUGAGGUGUAGUGAGUGAACUGCAUAGAAGCUGGAGAGCUGGAAAUGCAGGCAUUGUACGAGUAAGUGACUUUGAAUCACAAAUGCCUUAGACAUCUGUAGCUUCCACAGAAGGGACCUUUCUAUAGUUGAAAGGGGAUGCUCUCAGGGAAGAGGGACAAUGUCAAGACUAAGACUGUCUGUCUAACCCCUAUUAUUCUCUGGAGUCCUCCAGCCUCCUGGGUUUUGGUAGGGACCACAGAAAGCAGAUAAAGUCCUGGGUAAAGUCCUGUUCAGUCCACAGUUGCCCCGGAAACCUCUUGUUGUUUGUGUCCCGGUGUACUCUGGCCUGGACGUGUGGGGAUCCAGGGGGAAGGAAGUGUGGAGAAGCCAGGAUGUGUGAUUGUCCUCACGUGUAGUGAACUCCCCCAGGAGCACAUCAGAUCUGUGCUACUCCUGCUGUCAUGCCAUGGAGCACUAAUGGGGGCAAUCUGGGUACAAGGACCCCUCGACCCUUUCAGCAGCAGAUUCCCAGUGCUUUUCCCGGCCUUAAGGACCAUCCUCUGCCACUGGGACCACUGAGAUGGAGCCGCAGACUCAACUGCUACAAAGGGAAGAUGUUGGCUUUGUGUGUGUGUGUGUGUG